rnacentral:rRNA from 1 species
AAGCGACGCUGGCGGCAGGCCUAACACAUGCAAGUCGAACGCCCAGCAAUGGGAGUGGCAGACGGGAUAGUAACACGUGGGAACGCGCCCUUCGGUUCGGAAUAACUCAGGGAAACUUGAGCUAAUACCGGAUACGCCCUUACGGGGAAAGAUUUAUUGCCGAAGGAACGGCCCGCGUCGGAUUAGCUAGUUGGUGAGGUAAUGGCUCACCAAGGCGACGAUCCGUAGCUGGUCUGAGAGGAUGACCAGCAUCACUGGGACUGAGACACGGCCCAGACUCCUACGGGAGGCAGCAGUGGGGAAUAUUGGACAAUGGGCGCAAGCCUGAUCCAGCCAUGCCGCGUGGAUGAUGAAGGCCCUAGGGUUGUAAAGUCCUUUUAACGGGGAAGAUAAUGACGGUACCCGUAGAAUAAGCCCCGGCUAACUUCGUGCCAGCAGCCGCGGUAAUACGAAGGGGGCUAGCGUUGCUCGGAAUUACUGGGCGUAAAGCGCACGUAGGCGGGUCGAUAAGUCGGGGGUGAAAUCCUGGAGCUCAACUCCAGAACUGCCUUCGAAACUGUCGAUCUUGAGUUCGGGAGAGGUGAGUGGAACUGCGAGUGUAGAGGUGAAAUUCGUAGAUAUUCGCAAGAACACCAGUGGCGAAGGCGGCUCACUGGCCCGAUACUGACGC